AUACGGAGGGUGCAAGCGUUAUCCGGAAUCAUUGGGUUUAAAGGGUCCGUAGGCGGGCAAUUAAGUCAGAGGUGAAAUCCCACAGCUCAACUGUGGAACUGCCAUUGAUACUGGUUGUCUUGAGUUAUAGUGAAGUAGAUAGAAUGUGUAGUGUAGCGGUGAAAUGCAUAGAUAUUACACAGAAUACCGAUUGCGAAGGCAGUCUACUAGCUGUUGACUGACGCUAAUGGACGAAAGCGUGGGGAGCGAACAGGAUUAGAAACCCGGGUAGUCC
rnacentral:rRNA from 1 species